rnacentral:rRNA from 1 species
AUUGAACGCUGGCGGUAUGCUUAACACAUGCAAGUCGAACGGCAACAUGAAUAUAGCAAUAUAUUUGAUGGCGAGUGGCGGACGGGUGAGUAAAGCGUAAGAAUCUACCUAUUUGACUGGGAUAGCCUGUGGAAACGCGGGGUAAAACCGGAUGAGCUGUGAGCAGUAAAGAGUGGGGCGCAAGUCCUGUUGCAAAUAGAUGAGCUUACGUCGGAUUAGCUAGUUGGUAGGGUAAAGGCCUACCAAGGCGACGAUCCGUAGCUGUUCUGAGAGGAAGACCAGCCACAUUGGGACUGAGACACGGCCCAGACUCCUACGGGAGGCAGCAGUGGGGAAUAUUGGACAAUGGGCGGAAGCCUGAUCCAGCAAUACCGCGUGUGUGAAGAAGGCCUGAGGGUUGUAAAGCUCUUUUGUCAGGGAAGAAACAGCAGCUCUAACACAGUUUGCGAAUGACGGUACCUGAAGAAUAAGCACCGGCUAACUACGUGCCAGCCGCCGCUGUAACAC